ensembl:lncRNA
AACUGUUUUAAAUUCAUUUUAAAUAAGUACAUUUUUAAAUCAUUUACAAUGUUUUAAAAUAGCUUGUUUUAUGUUUUAAAAUUGCUUGUUUUAUUUUUGUUAUUAUUUUUCUUCAUGAUUAUUUUACUUUCUUUUAUGUAAAGCACUUUGAAUUACCAUUGUGUACGAAAUGUGCUAUAUAAAUAUACUUGCCUUGCCUAAAAAUCUCAUGUGAAAUCUGAAGCUUGUCCUUCUUCCAUUUGCGCUCUGCUCGUCUACAAACUUGUCGGAGGGCACGAGUGGAUUUAUUUAAGCAAGGUUUUGCAUGCUUAACCUUCAGAGAGCAACAGAAUACUGGUACAUGUAGAGUUAAACAGAGAGAGUAACUCUUCAGCACAUAAUUGGGAAGAUGAGUCUACACAAUCCAAAUUUAGAGGACAAGAAACAACAAUGUAAGCAGUGCACAAGUCAUUAAUAGAUGCAGAAUUCACUGUACGGAAACAGCGGGCAGCCACACAUGGUUUAACAACAGAACAAGGUAGAGAAAUGUCACGGUAGGUAGUGUGAGCAGUUAACCAGUGCACAUAGCACAGGGUUAGUUAAAUCAAUCUGCAACAACUGCAGUUCAAAACUGGAGUAUACAUCAGUCUCCAGUCUCCAUAAGUCAGUCUAGUAAUUUGAUUAUAUUCAGUAUCCUGCUGAUUUGUAGUCAGGAGACACACAAAUGACACAAAUCUGUGUUUAUGAUGAAGAUGAGCAUUAGAUGAACUGAGAUCAGAUCAAGAGUCUGUUUGACGUGUUUCUUCAUACAAACUUUAAUUCUGUGAAUGUUUGUAUAAUUUGGGUCUGAUUUUAAUUAACGAUGUCUUUAGAUUUUCGUACAAAUCUUACUUCUGUGUGUGUGUGUGUGUGUGUGUGUGUGUGUGUGUGUGUUUUGUUCUUCAGGUCCGGAUCGGUUCUGCUGGUUUGCUCAAUUAGAUCCCUGUUACACAGCUCUGGGAGACAAAUUCAAUCUGAUGAUGGAGUGGGACACUAGAAAAUAUGACCUGAAGAUAUAUAAGAGGAUAAACAACAACACACAAUAUGGUCCAGUUUGUAGAGUAAAGAAUGGCAGGAUGAGGAUGAGUGAAUGUGAUCUUUAUAAUAACAGACCUGAAGUGUCAGUCAUUAAUGGGAUUUUAAUAAUAAACCGUGUGAUCAGAGCAGAUUCUGGGAAUUACAGAUUAACACUCUUUCACUCAAACGGCACAGAAACAUCUAGAGAUCUUCAAGUGAUUGUUGAAGCUCCUAUUGGCUCAGUGGAAGUGUCAAUCAGCUGCUCCUCCAAUCAGAGGUCAGUGUCCUGCUCAUCUGACGGGGAUCACAUCAUCUACAGCUGGACUCUGAAUGGAGAAAUACUAGAACAAGGACCAAUGAAUGGAAACACCACCAUUCAGCUAAAUGAGGGAACUGAUGGAGACAUCAGCUGCAGCGUGAAGAACCACGUCAGUCACACACAGAAGACCAUUAGACUAGUCUGUCCUACAGUGUGUUCAGUGUCUGUGGUGUUUGUUCUGGUCUGGUGUCUCCAGCUGAUGGUUCUGUUCGGUCUGUUAGGAGGUUUUCACAUCUACAUGAGACACACGUCAGGUGAGAGACAUUUAUCAUCAUCAUUAUAGAUUUGACAUGCAAAUAUUAAGAGUGUGAUGAUGAUGAUGAUGAUGAUGUUUUUAGGAAAGAAACAGGAAGAGGAGAAAGUGAGAAUGAGAAGAUUUAGAGAGAGACAUGAACACACAGCAGAAGAUUCAUGAGAGCAGCAGCAGAUCUUCACAUCUGUGAGAAAUGAGUUCAGAAUCAGUCCAGCUUUCACCUGUCAACAACAGAUCUUAUAUAAAACCAAGAGAUUCAUUAAACCAGGAGAUAUGAAUUAACCAGAUUUUCUACAGUUUUAGUUAUGAAGAUUAUUUUCUGGACAGCUGUGUUUUGUAAUAGUUUUAUUGCUUAUUUUAUUCAUUUGUCUUUCCUCUUUGAAUGAACUAGCAGUAUUUUUAUGUCAUUAUAUGAAACUCCUUCUGUUCAUCUGUGAUCAAACUCUUUUAUUUCUCUGAAUCAGAUCUGUCAGAUCGUGAACUCAUUCUGUGUGUUUAUUUUCACAUUUCUGCUCUUGCUCUUUUACUUUAUUCUUGAUUUGGUUGAUUUCUCUUUAUUUUCAGUGUCUGUUUAGAUGUUUAAACUGUUUGAAGCUCUUCAUCCGUGUCUCAGUUUUGCAGCGUCUGGUGUUUCCUGACUGUGGUUUUGCUUGAAUUUGCAGUUUUUACAUGACUUUUAACAUGUUAACCACAUUUGUGCAUUUUUCUUCACAAGAUAUUUGUGUCAUUUUAGAAUAUUGAUAAGCCGUUCUUUAGAAAUUGUAAUAGGCUCAUUGCUGAAUUUGUUAUGCUUAACUUUUUUGAGGUAAAUGGAAAUAAAACACUUUGAAGUUAAAAAGUAUUUCA